rnacentral:rRNA from 1 species
GAAUCAACGCUGGCGGCGUGCCUAACACAUGCAAGUCGCACGAGAAAGGGACUUCGGUCCUGAGUAAAGUGGCGCACGGGUGAGUAACACGUGGCUAAUCUACCCUCGAGUGGGGAAUAACCUAGGGAAACCUGGGCUAAUACCGCAUAACACUUACGAGUCAAAGCAGGCAAAUGCGCUUGGGGAGGAGGUCGCGGCAGAUUAGCUUGUUGGCGGGGUAAGUGGCCCACCAAGGCAANGAUCUGUAUCCGGCCUGAGAGGGCGCCA